ensembl:snRNA U6 U6 spliceosomal RNA
GUGCUCACUUCGGCAUCACAUAUACUAAAAUUGGAAGGACACAGAGAAGAUUAGCAUGGCCCCUGUGCAACGAUGACAUGCAAAUUCAUGAAGCGCUUCAUAUUUUU